AGGGUAGAUACUUUUGAAAGUAACAGUGAAAGCUGAAGACCCUCUGCUCCCCCAAAUGAGGAGGAAAAGAAGAAAAGUCUAUAAAAAAUGGAAAAUCUUGAAUUCCACAGUAUGUGAACCUCAGCCUGCUAAGGAGAAUGGAGAUAAGCAUACAACUGCUUCUAUGACAAAGCCGAAG